CCUGCACGCUUAAGAAGGAAUCCAUCCAUGGCUCUAGCCAGCCGAUGCCGGCUUCGAGGUCGUAGGAUCCUCAUGGAAACGGAUUGCGGGAAAAUAAUGUCGUCCCGCUCGGACAGUGGGAGUGGGGAGGACUCGUUGGACCGGCUCCUUCCCCCCACCGGGGCCCCUCGCAGGAAGAGCGCUACCUCACUGAGUAAAACAGAACCUCCUCUGCUCCGCACGGGCACACGCACCAUCUACACCGCAGGCCGCCCUCCCUGGUAUGAUGAGCAUGGAGCGCAGUCAAAAGAGGCCUUCGUCAUCGGGCUGUGUGGGGGCAGCGCCUCAGGGAAGACCACCGUGGCCAAUAAGAUCAUCGAGGCUCUGGAUGUGCCAUGGGUGGUGCUGUUGUCGAUGGAUUCUUUCUAUAAGGAUUUAUCUCCCGAGGAGCAGACUUUGGCAGCAAACAACGACUACAACUUCGAUCAUCCGGGGGCUUUCGACUUCGAGCUCCUGGUGGCCACUCUGAGAAAACUGAAGCAGGGCAGGAGUGUGAAGAUCCCUGUGUACGAUUUCACCACACACAGAAGACAGAAAGACUGGAAAAACGUCUACGGUGCCAGUGUGAUCAUAUUUGAGGGAAUUAUGUCUUUUGCAGACAAAGAGCUCCUUCAGCUGCUGGAUAUGAAAAUCUUUGUGGAUACAGAUUCAGACAUUCGGCUCGUCCGCCGGCUCCGCAGGGACAUCACAGAGCGUGGACGGGACAUUGAAGGCGUCAUCAAGCAGUACAACAAGUUUGUGAAGCCGGCCUUUGAGCAGUACAUCGAGCCGACCAUGAGGCUGGCCGACAUCGUGGUGCCGAGAGGUGGUGGGAAUAUGGUGGCCAUUGAUCUGAUAGUGCAGCAUGUUCACAGCCAGCUGGAGGAGCGUGAGCUCAGUGUCAGGGCGCUCCUAGCCUCGGCUCAGCAGACUCAGCCGCUGCCUCAGACGCUCAGUGUGUUGGAGAGCACGCCGCAGGUCAGAGGCCUGCACACCAUCAUCAGGAACAUAGAAACCAGCCGUGAUGAGUUUAUCUUCUACUCAAAGAGAUUAAUGCGGCUUCUCAUCGAACACGCACUAACGUUUCUACCAUCUCAGCCGUGUGUGGUUCAGACUCCGCAGGGUCAGGAGUACGAGGGCCGCAGCUACAACGGGAAAGGGAUCACCGGUGUGUCGGUCCUGAGGGCAGGAGAGACCAUGGAGCCCGCUCUGAGGGCAGUGUGCAAAGACGUCCGCAUUGGGAAGAUCCUCAUCCAGACCAACCUUGACUCAGGAGAACCAGAGCUGCAUUACCUGCGUUUGCCCAAAGACAUCAGCGAAGAUCAUGUCAUCCUAAUGGACAGCACCGUCUCCACCGGAGCUGCUGCCAUGAUGGCAGUGAGAGUCCUGCUGGAUCAUGAGGUGCAGGAGGAUCGGGUCGUGUUGGUGUCCCUGCUGAUGGCAGAGCUUGGCGUUCAAUCAGUGGCCUACGCCUUCCCAAAGGUCAAAAUCAUCACCACGGCUGUGGACAAGAGUCUGGACGACUUGUUACACGUCAUUCCUGGAAUCGGUGACUUUGGGGACCGGUACUUUGGAACAGACGGGACAGACAGCUGGAGUGAUGAUGAUCAGGACCAGCCGUCGUACUGACACACACGUUCAAUAACGGAGAGAAAGAGAGAGAAGAGAGAAAGAGAGAGAGUUCAUCGAUGGAGUGAUGAUGAGACAUGACGUUUUGCUAAUACACAUCAGUUCUACAGUAGCUUUCCAAGCUGCACUAUGGUGAAAACCCAAAGCAGAUUCAUAUGAGCACAAGGCAGGGACGAUGGAGAUGAACGGUCCACAGACAUGAGGGAGGACUGAGCAGAGAGAGCAGGCAAACCGUGAGAGAAGACUACCUCUCCUCUCUGCUGAACAGAGUCCCACCGAGCCAGAGACUUCCUUCACUUAACUGGCUUUGUGCUCUACAGAGAAAUAAAGCAACACACUAAAAGAAAAGAAAACAACCAACAACAAUAAAAUAAAAACAUUCAUAUAGAGGUACCACAUGACAGUGCUUGAUUUUUUGUCUUUUUUUCCACUUUUUUUAGCAUGCAACUCGUAGCAGGCAAAGUGCAGAAACAGGAUCAACAAAGUAAAACACUUCAUUUACAGACGGCAGUGGAGACAGUGUUCAGUCC